rnacentral:rRNA from 1 species
UACGUAGGGUGCGAGCGUUGUCCGGAAUUACUGGGCGUAAAGAGCUCGUAGGUGGUUUGUCGCGUUGUUCGUGAAAUCUCACGGCUUAACUGUGAGCGUGCGGGCGAUACGGGCAGGCUCGAGUUCGGUAGGGGAGACUGGAAUUCCUGGUGUAGCGGUGGAAUGCGCAGAUAUCAGGAGGAACACCGAUGGCGAAGGCAGGUCACUGGGCCGCAACUGACGCUGAGGAGCGAAAGCAUGGGGAGCGAACAGG